rnacentral:rRNA from 1 species
AACCUGUUCUAUAAUCGAUAAUCCACGAUGGACCUUACUUAAGUUUGUAAUCAGUUUAUAUACCGUCGUUAUUAGAAUAUUUUAUAAGAAUGUUAAUUUUCAUAAUUUUUAAAAAGAAAAUAUAUCAGAUCAAGGUGUAGCUUAUAUUUAAGUAGAAAUGGGUUACAAUAAAUUUAUUUAUACGAAUAUAAAUUUGAAAUAUUUAUUGAAGGUGGAUUUGAUAGUAAAAUUAUAAAGAUUAAUAAUUUGAUU